rnacentral:rRNA from 1 species
UACGUAGGGCGCAAGCGUUUGUCCGGAAUUAUUGGGCGUAAAGAGCUCGUAGGCGGUUUGUCGCGUCUGCUGUGAAAACUCGAGGCUCAACCUCGGGCUUGCAGUGGGUACGGGCAGACUAGAGUGCGGUAGGGGUGACUGGAAUUCCUGGUGUAGCGGUGAAAUGGCGCAGAUAUCAGGAGGAACACCGAUGGCGAAGGCAGGUCUCUGGGCUGUAACUGACGCUGAGGAGCGAAAGCAUGGGGAGCGAACAGG